rnacentral:rRNA from 1 species
GACGAACGCUGGCGGCGUGCCUAAUACAUGCAAGUCGAACGCACAGUUUAUACCGUAGCUUGCUACACCAUAGACUGUGAGUUGCGAACGGGUGAGUAACGCGUAGGUAACCUGCCUGGUAGCGGGGGAUAACUAUUGGAAACGAUAGCUAAUACCGCAUAAUAUUGAUUAUUGCAUGAUAAUUAAUUGAAAGGUGCAAUUGCACCACUACCAGAUGGACCUGCGUUGUAUUAGCUAGUAGGUGAGGUAACGGCUCACCUAGGCGACGAUACAUAGCCGACCUGAGAGGGUGAUCGGCCACACUGGGACUGAGACACGGCCCAGACUCCUACGGGAGGCAGCAGUAGGGAAUCUUCGGCAAUGGACGAAAGUCUGACCGAGCAACGCCGCGUGAGUGAAGAAGGGUUUCGGAUCGUAAAGCUCUGUUGUAAGAGAAGAACGGGUGUGAGAGUGGAAAGUUCACACUGUGACGGUAGCUUACCAGAAAGGGACGGCUAACUACGUG